GGAAGAAAGAAAUGGGAAGAAAGAUGAAAAAAUGGAUGCUGUGUGGGCUCAACAACCAGAAAAUUCAAGGUAUUUCGACUAUUUAUGUCUAGUCAUUUUAUUCAUCAUCGUUUGUUCAAAAACGAACUAAGGUGCCGCCUCGCCUCGCGCUUUAAGUGCCUAGGCGGUGACCCCCCCGCCCCCCCACCCAAAUGCCUGGACNNNNNNNNNNNNNNNNNNNNNNNNNNNNNNNNNNNNNNNCCCCCCCACCCAAAUGCCUGGACGCCUUAAAAACCAUGAUGAUUGCUGAGGUGGCAUGGUUGCAUGAAUAGAUCAGUGCACAGAUUGCAACUUAUGACCACAUGCAUGACUUGAUGAUGUGGCAUGGUUGCAUGAAGAGGAAAAAUGGGUUGCAACUAUUUAAGAAUAGAGAAUUUAUUUAAAUUGCACGGAUCAGAAGGGAAUCAUGGCAAAAGGAAGCCUGCUACUAAAAUGCAACUGGUCAGUUUGAAAAUGCAAUAAGGAUGUGGGUUUAUUCAAGCUGUAUUUGAGAAAAACAUGAGAUAGGUAUCCAAUGAAAUAAAGUGAGAUUCUGCAGUUCUAAGUGGUUACAAGUUUAAACCCUGGCGCAAAUAACUCUUAGCUAAGCUCACUGUGAGAACAGAUGAUCUAAAAAUGUACUGGACUUCACAUGAGCUCCACUUGCAGGCCAGUAGUUCUUUUACCUCUGGAAAUGACAGUUGACCCAUUUCUGGACAUAACAAUGCUUGUCUCAGCUGCCAUUUCUAAACUGGUUUGUUGUUCUAGCCCAUUUUCCUCUUGCCCUGCUCGCUGUGUAUUUUGUUCAACUCCUGUUGAGUCUUGAUUUCCUUCUUGCAGUUCACUGUUUUCCUCAUUUAUUCCAUUUUCUUCUGGUAGAUUUGUAUUGUCUAACAUGAUCUUUGUUGUCUUGUGCUUCUUUUUGUAGAAAUAAAUUAUCAAUGCUAUCAAAAGGGAAGAAGUUGAAGCAACUCCAGUAAGUAUGAAUAAUCCCCUGAAGUUGGCAAAUGUGAGUGUGCUUGAGCCAGUGAGAGGGCCAACAUUCUGGCAAUUGUUUUGAUCCCCAAUCCAUUUCUUCUCAAUCUGGAUCAUAGUAUCCCCCCCGGUUACGUUGAGGAUUGCAUUUGAGAUGUCCCUAAGUAAGGGAUUUCCCUUUGAUAAUGCCUGUGCAACAAAUGUGGUCAUUUUAUUGUUCAUUUACACCAACCGUCAAAACUCGAACAUAUCUUAUCUGACUGAGGUAAAAGUAUAACUCUAUAAGCGCAAUCAAACAUUAUCAACUAUUCAGUAAUCUGUCUGGCCCUAACCUUUAUCACAUGAAUACAUGAUUGCUAGUAGGCAGUAGGCACCAUAGUAGGUUAUCAGACCAAGAUAAUUAGUAUAGGAUGUUCAGAUGUAUUUAUGUGAUUGCUAGUUGAAUUCAUUUUUUUAGAACCAAUUGAUUUGGUUAUAGUGACUUUCUCUGUAGGUAUAUAGUGUGAAAGAAGCAUAUCUAAUGUAGUUAAACUUACAUAUCCAAAACCUGCAGCCUUAUAAAUUGGUCCCACCAUUGUGUAUCCCUUGCAGUGGUUUGACAGGAAUAGUUUAAUGUACGGAACCUCAUGCACAAGAGCAGCAAUACCACCAUUGUUGCUUCCUCGGGAAAGUGCUUCAUGAAAAUCAUCAGGAUCGUAGGGCUUGAUCUUCAACCUGUCAAAACCGAGCUCUUCUAAAAGUCCCUUUACGUAUGAGCCACGUUGAUAUCCUACACAUUCUCCACUUUGUAGGAGUUCAUGCACAUCUGUUACUGUUGGCUGAAGCUGUUGCACAGUUAGCAUUGAUGUCAAGCUCGCAGUGUAACUUGAUGUAAGCACCAUCAGAAAUACUAGCCAAACAAUCAAAACUAUCCGGGACAGAAAGCGUUGCACAAGCUCUUCUGCAGAAAGUCACAAUGAAGUAAAUUAGACAAUUUUUGGCCAUCUCAAGUCCAAAGUUCAAAAAUGCAACAUCCAUAUCAUAUUAUUUUGUCAGUUAUAAUACAACAUGAUUCUAUGAUAAUUAUUUUCCCUCUGUUUACUGCAUAUUAAAUAUCUAAUAUUAUAUGUGUAGUGAUGAAGCUACCGCAUUUUUGAAAAUGCAAAGUUACCCAUAUAUGUUCAGGAAAUAUCAUAUGCAUUAUAUGUUUGUUAAUAGUGGCUAUUUUUAGUUGCAUCAGCAUUGCACAGUUCUUCACACGAAACCUCUCAGAUUGAUGCUGUAUAUUAUGCACCAACAUAGAAAAUGGGUAGAUCAUGGUAAGUGUACUCAACUCCCUUCAAAUAUGGAGAAAAAGAUCAUAAUCCCCAGCUGGCUGGGAAUUGGCCCACGAACAUUCUUGUUGUUUCCUAGAAAUUCCAAUAUCAAUACGACCACGCCGGUGUAGAUAAAGAAUACAACGCUUCCAAACCACAUGCCAGGUGCUAGUGGCUUCAAGAAAAUCCAUGUGUUCCUGUUUAUGCUAUCCCUUACUGGAACAAUCAUUGCUAUUCCCGAUUCUGUGUAUGGCAGAGUGAAGUCGACGUAGAAAGUUCGGUUAUACCUUAUUGUUAUAUCUCCAAUUACUAUAUCAUAUAUCUGUAAGGGCAAAAAAAACCUGUUAGCUGGCUGAUAGAAAAUAGUUCUGCCUUGAAUCUCCUUUUGGUAAGAAUGCUAAAGUAGUUGUGAAAUUCGGAAUAUAAAGAAUUAAUUAAGAGUAGCACUCAAUAGAUAGUCACACCUGCUUCGUAUGUUGUUGCCAUGUAAAAUAAUUGUUUGUACCUCUCAUAAAAGGGGUUAACGUUGCGGUCAGAAUUUUAAUACCACCUAAUUGGUGUUACGCACCGAAAUAUCAUGUGUCAUCCUUAGGUGGUUUCUUACAAAAAGUACUGAAAACAGAUAAUGGGACGACCUUAUAUGGCCAGUCUGCUCGAAAGCAGAGAAGGAUGGCAAUGGUUCUGAAGUACUGCAUGAAAUAAGUUCAAAAUAAUCUACAAUAACUAUCAUCCAAAAGAAAUAUUUGGUAUAUCUUGCCUCUAACAUGUUAAAUGAUAUGAGAGCAAGAUGCUUCAUGGCCUCAACUUUUUACUAACUAAAUAAAAUCAAUUGGGAAUACACUUGAAUUUAUUCAUACCUUAAGAUAAACUUGGUAGACAAAAUCAUUGUAAUCUUCGCUACUUCGAUCAUCCGUAGUACUGAAUAUUACAUAUUCAUAAGGGAGUGCAUAAGGAAGUUUCUUAACUGCCUCUUCAAAUACAUCAACUGAAAAACCACUUGCUUUAGUUGCACCUGUGAUAUAAUCCUUUUCGACCUUCAUAAAUUCUGGAUAUCCACUUGUGCACACACCAACUUGAAGUUUCUUCCCUCUUACAGGAAUCUGAGAACCCCGGGGUACCUCUUUGGACUCUCCUGGCCAGAUCACAGGAUAUAGGUCACGCGCUGAUCCCGAAAGUGCUGUUGCAGGUCUGCUUUUAUUUAAUUGCCGUGAGAUUCCAUUUUGUGCAGUCCAGAAUCCAAUUUCUCUCCAUCCUUCCCCUACCACAUUUAUUAUUUGAAAUGUUGAAAUUUGCAGCUGCCUGUCUGAAACGUCAAAAUUGCCACUGAGGCCUUCAAAUUGAUUCUGCAAGAUUUCUUGUAAUAGUUUUGGACCAUUACCAGAUGUUUUCAAGGUUUCCAAGCUUGUUGAGUUUCUUGUGACACCUGGUUUUGUAAACGUGGCAUUG
rnacentral:lncRNA from 1 species